AGAAUGAACGCUGGCGGCGUGCUUUACACAUGCAAGUCGAGCGAGGCGGGUAGCAAUACCCAGUCGAGCGGCGAACGGGUGAGUAACGCGUGGAUGACCUGCCUUGAGGUGGGGGAUAACGUCGGGGGAAACUCGAGCUAAUACCGCAUAUGACCGUGAGGUCAAAGGGGGCGCAAGCUCCCGCCAUGAGAGGGGUCCGCGUCCGAUUAGCUAGUUGGUGGGGUAAUGGCCUACCAAGGCGACGAUCGGUAGCCGGCCUGAGACGGGGUGAGUCGGACCGACACGUGGAACUGACGACACGGUCCAGACUCCGUACGGGAGCAGCGAGUGGGGUAAUUUGCGUACGAAGUGGGCUAACGGCCUAGACGCGAGCAACGCCGCGUGGAGGAGUGAGGUUCUUGGAUUAGUAAACGUCCU
rnacentral:rRNA from 1 species